rnacentral:rRNA from 1 species
CGUCUGGAAACGGACGCUAAUACCGCAUAAUAUCUACGGAUCAAAGAUUUAUCGCCAAGAGAUUAGCCCGCGUCUGAUUAGCUAGUUGGUGAGGUAAUGGCUCACCAAGGCGACGAUCAGUAGCUGGUCUGAGAGGAUGAUCAGCCACACUGGAACUGAGACACGGUCCAGACUCCUACGGGAGGCAGCAGUUAGGAAUAUUGGACAAUGGGGGAAACCCUGAUCCAGCCAUGCCGCGUGUGUGACGAAGGCCUUAGGGUUGUAAAGCACUUUCAGCCGUGAAGAUAAUGACAGUAGCGGAAGAAGAAG